rnacentral:rRNA from 1 species
UACGGAGGGUGCAAGCGUUAUCCGGAUUUACUGGGUUUAAAGGGUGCGCAGGCGGAUAUGUAAGUCAGUGGUGAAAUCUCUGAGCUUAAACUCAGAAACUGCCAUGGAUACUAUUUGUCUUGAAUAUUGUGGAGGGUAAGCGGAAUAUGUCAUGUAGCGGUGAAAUGCUUAGAUAUGGCAUAGAACACCCAUUGCGAAGGCAGCUUACUACACAAUUAUUGACGUGAGGCACGAAAAGCGUGGGGAUCAAAACAGG